rnacentral:lncRNA from 1 species
CCUUUGCACUGGGCCUGGGCUGAGGACACAGCCAGUGUUAGCCCAAGAGGAGCCAGCCCACUGUCUGGUGGCUUCAGCUUCACUCUAUCUUAGUUCAGGUUCUCCUGAAGCAGAGCCCGAGACUACUCUUUUGAGAAGUGACCCCAGGAAGCUGGAGCAAAGAAGCAGGAAGGGAAAGGCAGGGAAGGAGAAAAGCCAAUACAUGGAGCGCUCUGGAGGUCACCGCUGUAGGAUCGAGAAGGGACUACCUACCCAGCUGCAUGCCAGAUCUCCCUCCCCAGCCCUGGCCUCCCUCCAGAACUCUGGACCCAUCUGUCCAGUCAUCAUCCAGACCUUUCCAUAGAACGUCCUCCUACCCCGACACAGUAUCCCAGAGACUCCACUCAUCCCAGGCAGAACAUAUCUUCUGUUCCCUGAAACUGGCCCUCCUCUGGGAUCCCACCCUUUCAAGAACUUCAGCCAGAGAACGGGUGAGGUGGCUCACACCUGUAAUCCCAGCACCCUGGGAGGCCGAGGUGGGAGGGUUGUUUGAGCAAGCGAGGUUGAGGCUGCAGUGAGCCAUGACUACUGCACUCCAGCCUGGACAACAGAGGGAGACCCUAUCUAAAAAAAAAACAAAAAAGAACUUCCACCAGAAACCUGGCAUCCCUGGCCUCCCUCCUCCACUCCAACUAUCCCCUCCUUUCAUCCCCUCCCUGGUACUCAGGUGGGGCCUGGCUCA